rnacentral:lncRNA from 1 species
AUGGUAGAUGCAAGAAUGAGGGCAGCACUUCUGGAGGCCUUGCCUCUUUCCCCAGUAUGGCUGUCGCUCUUCCUCACGCAUGUGUGUGUUUUCUCACCCCAUACCAGUUGCCUUGAGUAUGCCAGGAUGGAAGACUGUUUGCAACAGAGAACCCGUUGUGUAUUCCAUGACAACUGUUCUGGCAAGACGAGGCGUGUGAGCCCCCAGGGGCUUCUGGGCAAUUGGUCCUUCGAUGUACAGGUGGAUCAUCCAUGGCGGUGCAUUUGGAGUAUUAGGAAGGACAACAGUGGCAGAUGUAUGGACCAUCCAACAGUUUUCCUCUCCCAUAAUCGGUUUCCUUUGUGGCGGAACUCCAGAUCCACAAGAGUUCAAUUUAGAUUCACACUUGAUUUCUUAUGAAAGAAUUAUAUUUGUUUCACCUUGAGAAGUGAAAUGAUGGAGAAUAUCUGACUAAAUCUGCCAAUCAAACCUCACAGUUCAUUGGAGACUCUCACACUGGUAAGCAUUUUGUCCUGAGAAUACUGACAUUAGAGUGUUGUAACAUUCCAAUGAUAAUAAAACUCUGGCCAAGCCAGUUAACUGAUACUGGAUCACUGACUGUGAUGACGUAGUCUCCAUCAUUUAAAACUGCUGAUUGUUGUGUCUAAGGGUGUUGGAAUCCUGAGUGCUCAGUCUCUGCUACAUAACUUACUGUCCUACUACAAAUGUACCUGUAUUGGUGAUGAGUUCAAAGUGGGUCUCAGAGGAAUCUGAAUAAAAUGACUGACAAAGUUACUUCUGUGAGGUGAGGUCCAGCACAAGGGACGAUACUAGGCUAUGGAGGGAGUUCAGUUGGUCAAGUAAUAUCUAUAGUGACUACCAUGUUUAAAGUUAACAAAUAACUUUGACAAAUUUUACAGUUGCCUAUAAACAUCUGAUUUGGUGGCAGAAAAUACUAGACAGUAUUUGCUCUGAUGGAGGGUAGAGAUUAACAUAAUGUUGGAAUAACAUCAGAAACAUUUUAGGAGACAAAUACAUUAUUUUAUUUCAAAUGAGGGUACAUUUGUGAACUCUAUGAUUUUGUAUCUAGUAGACCAGUGGACACAUUUACCUCUUAUCUUUCCACAUUUUACUUUGUUCUUUCAAGUAGCAUGGAUCUAGUACUGAGUUUCAUAUGAAAGAGAAGCAACAUAAAGGACAGGAUUGAGAAUAAGUUAGCCUUUUCAUCUUUGGGGUUCGUUCUCAAGCUGGUAAACAUUUUGUCCUGAAAAUACUCUAUUCUUCUUAGAGGUCAUAUAAUAUUGAGGUCAAUAUUAGGGGUCAAUAAUGGUAAGUCUUUGACUAUUCUGGGAAGUAUAUGGUCUCCAAGACUGAAUAUGGUAGGUCAGUAUGUCUGUGGGUGAUGUACUCCUGAAUACCUGCUCUGUUGUUUAACUGAGGUUCGAAAUACCCCUUUAGUAAUGUGCCUGGAUUGAUGACUGAAUAAUUUUUUUAUUCAGAAAAUCUGAAUAAAAUGAGUGACCUAAUCAAUUCUGUGAAGCUGAGGACCAGAACCCACCUUGUACAAAAUAUAUGGAAAGAGAGUUGAGUUUUUUCAUCUGUGAGGUAUCAGUAGAGACUGUUGUAUUUGAAAGUUCACCAAUGUGCAUGUGUUUGAUAAACUGAAUUAGGCAGAGGGCUGUACUUCUACACUGUUGGGAUAAUAUUGAAACUCUCUUGAGUGCUCAUUUGGCAGCACUAGACUCUAGAGAACCAGCACAUGAGUGCUGGAAAUGUGGGGUGCAGUUAUGCCUACACAUGUUUGUCUGAGCUGCUGGAAUCUUCUGAAUGACAGUCUCUUUAGGGCAAUUAGAUGGUCAAAAUUCAAAGAGAUCAAAGAUUUUUAUUCUUCACUUCUAUAUUAAAUGAAACAAUUACAUGGAAAUUGAAGCAUAGAUACUGAAUUUUAGAAUAUCUUCAUAGUAUUUUUAAUAGAAAUUUAUUUAUUUUGAUUGGAGGUUAAUUACUUUAAAAUAUUAUAUUGGUUUUGCCAUACAUCAACAUGAAUCUGCCACAGGUAUACAUAUGUUCCCAUCCUGAACUCCCCUCCCUCCUCCUUCCCUGUACCAUCCCUCUGGGUCGUCCCAGUGCACCAGCCCCAACCAUCGAACCUGGACUGGCGAUGCAUUUCAUAUAUGAUAUUAUACAUGUUUCUAUGCCAUUCUCCAAAAUCAUCCGCGAUUCAUGGGGUCGCAAAGAGUCGGACACGACUGAGCGACUGAACUGAACUGAUAACAUUUGUGUCUCUUGCUGUCUCGCAUACAGGGUUAUCAUUACCAUCUUUCUAAAUUCCAUAUAUAUGCAUUCAGUUCAGUUCAGUCGAUCAGUUGUGUCCGACUCUUUGUGACCCCAUGAAUCGCAGCACGCCAGGCCUCCCUGUUCAUCACCAA